UACGUAGGGGGCAAGCGUUGUCCGGAUUUACUGGGCGUAAAGAGCGUGUAGGCGGCCACGCAGGUCCGUUGUGAAAAACUGGAGGCUCAACCUCCAGCUGUCGACGGAAACCGUGUGGCUAGAGUCCGGAAGAGGAGAGUGGAAUUCCUGGUGUAGCGGUGAAAUGCGUAGAUAUCAGGAGGAAUACCGGUGGUGUAGACGGCUCUCUGGACCGCCACUGACGCUGAGACACGAAAGCGUGGGUAGCAAACAGG
rnacentral:rRNA from 1 species